rnacentral:rRNA from 14 species
AAGCAAGGGCAAUUGGUGAAUGCCUUGGCGAUGUCAGGCGAUGAAGGACGUGACUAGCUGCGAUAAGCCUCGGGUAGCGGCAAACACGCUUUGACCCGGGGAUUUCCGAAUGGGAAAACCCAGCAGCCUUAAUCGGCUGUUAUUUAUGUUUGAAUAUAUAGAGCAUAAAAGCAACACCCGCUGAAUUGAAACAUCUUAGUAAGCGGAGGAAAAAAAAAAAAAA